rnacentral:rRNA from 1 species
CCCCUAGAUGUUCUGGGCCGCACGCGCGCUACACUGAACAGUUCAACAAGUCUUAACCUUGGCCGAUAGGUCUGGGUAAUCUUUGAACGCUGUUCGUGAUUGGGAUAGACCUUUGCAAUUAUGGGUCUUCAACGAGGAAUUCCUAGUAAACGCAAGUCAUCAGCUUGCGUUGAUUACGUCCCUGCCCUUUGUACACACCGCCCGUCGCUACUACCGAUUGAACGUUUUAGUGAGGUAUUUGGACUGGACCUUCGGAGGUUCGCGCCUCCGUUGCUGUUCGGGAAGACUCCCAAACUUGAGCGUUUAGAGGAAGUAAAAGUCGUAACA